rnacentral:rRNA from 1 species
UACGUAGGCAGCAAGCGUUUGUUCGGAGUUACUGGGGCGUAAAGGGUGCGUAGGCGGUUGUUUAAGUUUGGUGUGAAAUCUCCCCGGCUCAACUGGGAGGGUGCGCCGAAUACUGAAUGACUAGAGUGCGGGAGAGGAUAGUGGAAUUCCUGGUGUAGCGGUGAAAUGCGUAGAUAUUGGGAGGAACACCAGUGGCGAAGGCGGCUCACUGGACUGGUACUGACGCUGAGGCGCGAAGGCGUGGGGAGCGAACGGG